rnacentral:rRNA from 1 species
GAACGCUGGCGGCGUGCCUAAUACAUGCAAGUCGAGCGGASUUGAUGRGGNGCUUGCWNUYCUGAKRSUUAGCGGCGGACGGGUGAGUAACACGUAGGCAACCUGCCCUCAAGACUGGGAUAACUACCGGAAACGGUAGCUAAUACCGGAUAAUUAAAUUCGCUGCAUGGCGGAKUUAUGAAAGGYGGAGCAAUCUGUCACUUGAGGAUGGGCCUGCGGCGCAUUAGCUAGUUGGUGAGGUAACGGCUCACCAAGGCGACGAUGCGUAGCCGACCUGAGAGGGUGAACGGCCACACUGGGACUGAGACACGGCCCAGACUCCUACGGGAGGCAGCAGUAGGGAAUCUUCCGCAAUGGGCGAAAGCCUGACGGAGCAACGCCGCGUGAGUGAUGAAGGUUUUCGGAUCGUAAAGCUCUGUUGCCAGGGAAGAACGUCUCAUAGAGUAACUGCUAUGAGAGU